UGCGUAGGCGGCGCUGUAAGUUGGGUGUGAAAUCCCUCGGCUCAACCGAGGAACUGCGCCCAAAACUACAGUGCUUGAGGGAGAUAGAGGUGAGCGGAACUUAGGGUGGAGCGGUGAAAUGCGUUGAUAUCCUAAGGAACGCCAGGGGCGAAAGCGGCUCACUGGGUCUCUUCUGACGCUGAGGCACGAAAGCUAGGGUAGCGAACGGGAUUAGAUACCCCGGUAGUCCUAGCCGUAAACGAUGAGCACUAGAUGGAAGGGUCCUCCAUAACCUUUCCAUCGAAGCGAAAGUAAUUAGUGCUCCGCCUGGGGAGUAUGGUCGCAAGGCUGAA
rnacentral:rRNA from 1 species